GACGAACGCUGGCGGCGUGCUUAACACAUGCAAGUCGAACGGAAAGGCCUCUUUCGGGGGGUACUCGAGUGGCGAACGGGUGAGUAACACGUGAGUAACCUGCCCUUGACUUUGGGAUAACUUCAGGAAACUGGGGCUAAUACCGGAUAGGAGCUCCUGCUGCAUGGUGGGGGUUGGAAAGUUUCGGCGGUUGGGGAUGGACUCGCGGCUUAUCAGCUUGUUGGUGGGGUAGUGGCUUACCAAGGCUUUGACGGGUAGCCGGCCUGCGAGGGUGACCGGCCACAUUGGGACUGAGAUACGGCCCAGACUCCUACGGGAGGCAGCAGUGGGGAAUAUUGCACAAUGGGUGGAAGCCUGAUGCAGCAACGCCGUGUGCGGGAUGACGGCCUUCGGGUUGUAAACCGCUUUCGCUCAUGACGAAGCUUUGUGUGACGGUAGUGGGUAAAGAAGCACCGGCUAACUACGUG
rnacentral:rRNA from 1 species